GCGGCGGUAGCUUAAUAGGUAAAGCGUUGUGCGCACAAUACAACUUUGCUUGGGUAUGUAGGUUCAAGUCCUAUCCGCCGCA
rnacentral:tRNA from 1 species